rnacentral:rRNA from 1 species
UACGGAGGGUGCAAGCGUUAUCCGGAUUCACUGGGUUUAAAGGGUGCGUAGGUGGGCAAGUAAGUCAGAGGUGAAAUCUCCGGGCUUAACCCGGAAACUGCCAUUGAUACUAUUUGUCUUGAAUACUGUGGAGGUCAGCGGAAUAUGUCAUGUAGCGGUGAAAUGCUUAGAUAUGACAUAGAACACCAAUUGCGAAGGCAGCUGGCUACACAAAUAUUGACACUGAGGCACGAAAGCGUGGGGAUCAAACAGG